AGAGUUUGAUCCGGGCUCAGGAUGAACGCUAGCGGCAGGCCUAACACAUGCAAGUCGAACGGUAACAUGGAGAAGCUUGCUUUUCUGAUGACGAGUGGCGCACGGGUGCGUAACGCGUAUAGAACCUACCCUUUACAGGGGGAUAGCCCGGAGAAAUUCGGAUUAAUACCCCAUAGUACUAUUUAGAGGCAUCUUUAGAUGGUUAAAGAGAUUCGGUAGAGGAUGGCUAUGCGUCCUAUUAGUUAGUAGGUGAGGUAACGGCUCACCUAGACUUCGAUAGGUAGGGGCCCUGAGAGGGGGAUCCCCCACACUGGUACUGAGACACGGACCAGACUCCUACGGGAGGCAGCAGUGAGGAAUAUUGGACAAUGGUCGAGAGACUGAUCCAGCCAUGCCGCGUGCAGGAAGACUGCCCUAUGGGUUGUAAACUGCUUUUUUACGGGAAGAAUAAUGCCCACGUGUGGGCAGAUGACGGUACCGUACGAAUAAGGACCGGCUAACUCCGUGCCAGCAGCCGCGGUAAUACGGAGGGUCCGAGCGUUAUCCGGAAUUAUUGGGUUUAAAGGGUCCGCAGGCGGACCAGUAAGUCAGGGGUGAAAGUUUGCGGCUUAACCGUAAAAUUGCCUUUGAUACUGCUGGUCUUGAGUUGCGGUGAAGUGGCCGGAAUAUGUGGUGUAGCGGUGAAAUGCAUAGAUAUCACAUAGAACACCGAUUGCGAAGGCAGGUCACUAACCGCCGACUGACGCUGAUGGACGAAAGCGUGGGGAGCGAACGGGAUUAGAUACCCCGGUAGUCCACGCCGUAAACGAUGGACACUAGCUGUCGGGCCUUUUUGGCUCGGCGGCCCAGCGAAAGUGAUAAGUGUCCCACCUGGGGAGUACGUCGGCAACGAUGAAACUCAAAGGAAUUGACGGGGGCCCGCACAAGCGGUGGAGCAUGCGGUUUAAUUCGAUGAUACGCGAGGAACCUUACCAGGGCUUAAAUGUAGUGUGACAGGGGUAGAGAUACCUUUUUCUUCGGACACAUUACAAGGUGCUGCAUGGUUGUCGUCAGCUCGUGCCGUGAGGUGUCAGGUUAAGUCCUAUAACGAGCGCAACCCCUACCGUUAGUUGCCAGCAUGUAAAGAUGGGGACUCUAACGGGACUGCCGGUGCAAACCGAGAGGAAGGUGGGGAUGACGUCAAAUCAUCACGGCCCUUACGUCCUGGGCUACACACGUGCUAC
rnacentral:rRNA from 1 species